ensembl:lncRNA
GUACACAACUGUCGUAUUUGUUGUUUUGUCAUCGGCACUAUUCCAUCAUGCACAGCCAUAACACUGGGGGAACGUCAGGAACGCCGUGAAAAAAAAAAACAAACAUCGACAACAUUUUAAACUACUUUUGUUUUUCUUCUAUCCAUCUGGCAGGUUAAGAUGUUCGCUAGCUAACCAGCAGGAUCAUUUAGACUCGUUAGAUGGUUUAAAGGAAACGGACCAUACGCAUUUUCAAGGUCAUCGCGUCAGCUACUCUCUGCUCGUCGAAGCUUGUGGAAAAAGUCAGUUAUAGUCGUCACCUUGUGCUGCAAGUGGCCACUUCGAAGUGGACAGGGGAAGUGUAGAGAGGUGUAGAUCGAGUACUGGAACCCAGGUUUGGACAUUGAUUAAUUAGUGUAAACAGGAUGAUCUUCAGCCCUUCAUUUUCCAUUCAAAACAAAAUCAACAUUUAUCAACAAAAUACAUAAAUCCUGAUUAGUGUAACGUGUGUGUGUGAACUUUAUUCUGGUUUGGAAUGUGAUGCCACUCAGUAGGACGAGCUCGGCGUGUGUGCGCGUGUGUGUGCGUGUGUGUGCGUGUGUGUGUGUGUGUGCAUGUGUGUUUAUACAGCGCGAGCUCGUUUCUUCCUGGAGAAGAACACGUCCGGGUAGAAGCCCAUCGCUGAAGUGCAGGAGCCGGACUCGUCACAGGUGUAUCCAGCAGGACAGCAAUGCAGCAUAUCACUGCAACACACAGCCUACACACACACACACACACACACACACACACACACACACACUUACUGUAAAUAUGAAUACCUGAACUAAUAAUUACACAAAAACAUACCAUCAAACUUCAGAAACAGUGAAGAGAGAAAAAAAGAAAGAACACAAUGAAAAGGAGAGAAAGUAAGAAGAGAAGAAGAAGAAGGGAGGAACUACAGAAGAAAGAAAUAAGAGGAAAGAAGGAAAGAGAAAGGAACAGCACAAGAAAAGAUAGGGAAAGGAAGAGAAUCAAAGAAGGAGGAAAGAGAACAAAGAACACGCAAAGUAAAGUAAGAAUGAAAGAAGACGCGUGUCCUAUAUUUUGUUUGUCAGUGGCAGUGAAGGAGGCGUGGCCUCUUUGUCAGUCCUCGCAAAAGAGGUGUGGCCUCUGUGCCUGUCAGUUCUUGCAAAGGAGGCGUGGCCUCUAUACCUGUCAGUCCUAGUCAAGAAGGAAUGGUGUCUCUGUCAGUCCUCACAAAAGGACGUGUGGCCUCUGUGUCUGUUAGUCCUAGCAAAGGAAGCGUGGCCCCUGUACCUGUCUGUCCGAGUGAAAAAGGUGUGGCCUGUGUGUCAGUCCCACUAAAGGAGGCGUGGACUCUGACUCCUUAUAGCUAAUAUUCUUCCUAUUACAAUCAAACACCUGUACCGGUGCACAGUACCAAAGGAAGCCGAUUUGAUGUUUCUAAAUGAUACAUAAUAAUCAUUUUAAACAAAAUCACUAUUUUCAUUAGCGUCCAUUUAAAAACGAUAAAUCUGAACAAAAAAAUCUAAUCAAAUCCACACUGCUCUCUGCGGUGUUACCUUCGGAAACGGGCAGCAGCCCCAGGAGCUCGCUGACAUCCUGCAGCAGGUUUCAGAGUCUUUGCAGGUAAACCCUCCUCCGCAGUCGAUGUCAGUAUGGAUCUGGGGAUUCGCCGAGUCCCUGACGGAGGCGAAAGACACAGAGUCGAACUUUAUCCAGGAGCUUUUCACACACUGCUGGUCACGGCAGGUGUAGCCUUUCGGACAGCAGUUCUCUCCGUCUGCGCAGCACGUAGCCUAGGAUUAAAAAAACAGACCACAGGUCUACUACGGAGAACUCUAACCAUGUCAUCGAUUAUGUUUGUGAACCAUGUGUUAUUCGCUAAAACUUCAAACACAAUGUAAAUAUUAAGAAGAAAAAAAAAAAAGAGUACGCUAUUAAAUGAUAAAAGAUAUAUCAGAACAUAAUUAUCGACGUGUCGUCAUUUCCCCGCUAAGUAUCCACCAGCUAUUCGAGCGCUUCUUUCCAAAUACGUUGUUGUCACGUCAGCGCCGGUUGCAUCGCAGCUCGGACUCCAUUUCCCAUCAGCCACCACCACUGCCUCGUUUGAAAUAUCUGACUCCUGACUAUGCACACCUGUUUUUAGUUUCUACCUUAUUCAGUUUGGUUAUACAUAUACCUUCCCUGCGUCCCGACUGGCAUACUAUCCGUACUGAUGAGAAUUAGUGCGUCCCGUAUUGAGGUAUGUUAUGAAUGGGUAUCCCAGAGGUACCCGGAUGGUCUACUACUUCCGGUCGACUUCUUGAGCGAUGGAGGCGGAGUUUUAUGACGGAUUGCUUCGCCGAAUUCGAGGAUGCCUUUUAGAGAGGUGUAAAUGAAAUGUGGAAAAACAAAUCAAGAGAAUGAUUAAUGAUUCAAACCAUGUAGUAUAAAUCCUAUAAGGAUUUGUUGAUUGUUUCAUUUCCUCGGGCUCUUUGUUCCUGUUUUGCUCAUUUUGUGGAUUGGGGUUUGACUUUGUUUGCUCUUCGCCUGUUAUAAAAUACACAACCGGCGCUUUCAUCCACUGCUACUAACUUCACAGUUGCUCUCUGGAUAUUUACUUUAUUCAAACAUGUUCUGGAUGCUUCACAGCUUCCUCACCCAGUUUAGAAUCAUUAUAUAGCUUAGUACGUCUUCCUGCCCACUUAUACACACUUACACUUUUCAGCCUUUUUUUUUUUUUUUUUAAAUAAUUUCUAUGAAGUUACUAACCUCAUAUAAAGAUCAGUUAUAUAAGCAUUUGUGGAAGGAGUCUCCAGUGUUAGUACUUUGUAACAAUCAGAGCAAAGCCUUUUAAGCUUUCCCACCCUCUAUAACAUGAAUAUGUUCUCGCAGUGUGAUGGUUUGCCUCAUCAAAAAUGUUCUCUCCUUCUUUUCAUUGUGUUCUUUCUUAACACAGUUUUUGAAGCUUGAUGGUAUGUUUGAGUGUAAUUAUUGGUUCAGGAAUUCAUAUUUACAAGAACUGUGUGUGUGUGUGUGUGUGUGUGUCUGUGUGUGUGUGUGUGUGUGUGAGAGAGAGAGACAGAGAGAGAGAGAGAGCUUUAUUCCAUUAACCUGGUCCAGAGGACAGCAGCCCCAUUUCUGGCUCUUCUUCAUGAAGCAGCAGGUGGUGUGGUCAGGACAGGACACGUGAGGGUCACACUUCACUGAAACGGCCUUUCCAGAAAAAAAAAAAAAGAA